GAUUAGAUACCCUGGUAGUCCACCCCGUAAACGUUGGGAACUAGUUGUGGGGACCAUUCCACGGUUUCCGUGACGCAGCUAACGCAUUAAGUUCCCCGCCUGGGGAGUACGGCCGCAAGGCUAAAACUCAAAGGAAUUGACGGGGACCCGCACAAGCGGCGGAGCAUGCGGAUUAAUUCGAUGCAACGCGAAGAACCUUACCAAGGCUUGACAUAUACGAGAACGGGCCAGAAAUGGUCAACUCUUUGGACACUCGUAAACAGGUGGUGCAUGGUUGUCGUCAGCUCGUGUCGUGAGAUGUUGGGUUAAGUCCCGCAACGAGCGCAACCCUCGUUCUAUGUUGCCAGCACGUAAUGGUGGGAACUCAUGGGAUACUGCCGGGGUCAACUCGGAGGAAGGUGGGGAUGACGUCAAAUCAUCAUGCCCCUUAUGUCUUGGGCUUCACGCAUGCUACAAUGGCCGGUACAAAGGGCUGCAAUACCGUGAGGUGGAGCGAAUCCCAAAAAGCCGGUCCCAGUUCGGAUUGAGGUCUGCAACUCGACCUCAUGAAGUCGGAGUCGCUAGUAAUCGCAGAUCAGCAACGCUGCGGUGAAUACGUUCCCGGGUCUUGUACACACCGCCCGUCAAGUCAUGAAAGUCGGUAACACCUGAAGCCGGUGGCCCAACCCUUGUGGAGGGAGCCGUCGAAGGUGGGAUCGGUAAUUAGGACUAAGUCGUAACAAGG
rnacentral:rRNA from 1 species